rnacentral:rRNA from 1 species
AUCAUGGCUCAGGACGAACGCUGGCGGCGCGCCUAACACAUGCAAGUCGAACGAGCGAGAGAGAGCUUGCUUUCUCGAGCGAGUGGCGAACGGGUGAGUAACGCGUGAGGAACCUGCCUCAAAGAGGGGGACAACAGUUGGAAACGACUGCUAAUACCGCAUAAGCCCACGGGUCGGCAUCGACCAGAGGGAAAAGGAGCAAUCCGCUUUGAGAUGGCCUCGCGUCCGAUUAGCUAGUUGGUGAGGUAACGGCCCACCAAGGCGACGAUCGGUAGCCGGACUGAGAGGUUGAACGGCCACAUUGGGACUGAGACACGGCCCAGACUCCUACGGGAGGCAGCAGUGGGGAAUAUUGCACAAUGGGGGAAACCCUGAUGCAGCGGCGCCGCGUGGAGGAAGAAGGUCUUCGGAUUGUAAACUCCUGUUGUUGAGGAAGAUAAUGACGGUACUCAACAAGGAAGUGACGGCUAACUACGUGCCAGCAGCCGCGGUAAAACGUAGGUCACAAGCGUUGUCCGGAAUUACUGGGUGUAAAGGGAGCGCAGGCGGGAAGACAAGUUGGAAGUGAAAUCCAUGGGCUUAACCCAUGAACUGCUUUCAAAACUGUUCUUCUUGAGUAGUGCAGAGGUAGGCGGAAUUCCCGGUGUAGCGGUGGAAUGCGUAGAUAUCGGGAGGAACACCAGUGGCGAAGGCGGCCUACUGGGCACCAACUGACGCUGAGGCUCGAAAGUGUGGGUAGCAAACAGGAUUAGAUACCCUGGUAGUCCACACCGUAAACGAUGAUUACUAGGUGUUGGAGGAUUGACCCCUUCAGUGCCGCAGUUAACACAAUAAGUAAUCCACCUGGGGAGUACGACCGCAAGGUUGAAACUCAAAGGAAUUGACGGGGGCCCGCACAAGCAGUGGAGUAUGUGGUUUAAUUCGACGCAACGCGAAGAACCUUACCAAGUCUUGACAUCCUGUGACAGACGUAGAAAUACGUUCUUCCUUCGGGACACAGAGACAGGUGGUGCAUGGUUGUCGUCAGCUCGUGUCGUGAGAUGUUGGGUUAAGUCCCGCAACGAGCGCAACCCUUAUGGUCAGUUACUACGCAAGAGGACUCUGGCCAGACUGCCGUUGACAAAACGGAGGAAGGUGGGGAUGACGUCAAAUCAUCAUGCCCUUAUGAUCUGGGCGACACACGUGCUACAAUGGCGGUCACAAAGUGAGGCGAACCCGCGAGGGGGAGCAAACCACAAAAAGGCCGUCCCAGUUCGGACUGUAGUCUGCAACCCGACUACACGAAGCUGGAAUCGCUAGUAAUCGCGAAUCAGAAUGUCGCGGUGAAUACGUUCCCGGGUCUUGUACACACCGCCCGUCACACCAUGGGAGUCGGAAAUGCCCGAAGCCAGUGACCCAACCUUUUGGAGGGAGCUGUCGAAGGUGGAGCCGGUAACUGGGGUGAAGUCGUAACAAGGUA